UACAGAGGGGGCAAGCGUUGUUCGGAAUUACUGGGCGUAAAGGGCUCGUAGGCGGCCAACUAAGUCAGACGUGAAAUCCCUCGGCUUAACCGGGGAACUGCGUCUGAUACUGGAUGGCUUGAGUUUGGGAGAGGGAUGCGGAAUUCCAGGUGUAGCGGUGAAAUUCGUAGAUAUCGGGAGGAACACCGGUGGCGAAGGCGGCGACCUGGGUCGAUACUGACGCUGAGGUGCGAAAGCGUGGGGAGCAAACAGG
rnacentral:rRNA from 1 species